AAUCAACUGAAAAGUUAGUGACGAAAACCCUGACAAAAAGGUGAAGAAAAGAUACUUUUAUGCCUAUUUUUAGCCAUUGUUGAUCAGUUAUUUUCAGACUGUUUGAGAGUCAUGGGAAUGAUGAAAGGGGAAAAAAAGAAUAAACUAAAAAAAGGGUGCAGCAGAGAACAAAAGAACCUACAAAAACAGACAGAGGUUCUCGGACAGAAUUCAGCCAAAUUACAUGAAGAGAAGAGCGUCAAGUCAGAAGAAGCCACGAGUUGGAGCUGAACUGAAGACUGAGAAGGCUCUCUCAGAGGCACAACCAGAUUCAUCUUCAUCUCACAUCACUGUGGUGGCUGUAUUCCUGCACUUCCCCCACUGAGACCAAGCACAUGUCAAUGUUCUGUUUUGUUUUAUUUUAUUUGCCUUUUCUCUCUUUUUCUUUUUUUCCUAUUAUCUUUUUUUAAAAUUAAAAUAACCACUAUGGUUUUCUUCAGAUCCUUUGUGGUGCAGGAUGAUGUUUCAUAUGCAGACUAUUUUCAAAGACAGAAAAAAUACUAAUAUUGGUGGUUAUUUAAUUUAAAGCCACUGGAAUUUCUCUUGGGAAACCUACAGAAUGACAUCGAAGAAUAUAACAUGCAUUUUGUUCUAUCAAAGAAUUCUAUGUAAAUUCUCUUGGUAUCAGCUUUAAAAAAAAAAAAAAAUGUGGCAAGCUUUUGAAGCUGUUGAUCACUGUCUCCUUAAUUCUCUCUUCUUUCUUUGUUACUACACUACUCUCUGCCUAACUGACUGCUCCUUCUCUGUCUCCUUUGCUAGAUCUUUUACCAAAUCAGAUCCUCUAACCAUAAUUUUCCUUUUGGGUGAUAUCCUGGGCCAUCAUUCUUAUAUCCCUCAACAAGAAGAUGAGGAGGCCUUCUUGAGGUUCCACAUUAGGGGCCUGUGCAGAAGUAUUUAAAAAAAAAAAAAAAAAAAGAGGAUCAAGGAAGAUAAAGAGGAUCCCAUAGUCAAGUAACUGAAGGUCAAUAUAAGAUAAGAUCUGAAAAACUAAAAAAAAAUGAAGAAAGCCUUAAUACAAAUUCAAGACACAUGGAAAUUAAUGAAAAGAAGAUUGAAGGAAAAAAUUAGCAAAACCUGACAAAUAAAGUACAUUAAAAUACUAUGAAGGAACAUUAGUAGGAAGAGAAAAUAUUGCAUGAAGGAACAUUAGAAUUUGGGAAAGGAUGGUUGAAGAAGUAAGCUAUUAGAGGAGAUAGAACAUGAUGCAAUCAAAGGUGCUGAUUUGAGCUUGGCAAGCAGAAACACCUGUCCAUUUGAAACUAAAAGAAAAAAGAAAAGUGGGGAGUGAUGUUGAGAGUAUUUUAGUUCUAGGAAAUGGGAAGAAAAUAGAGUAUCAAAUGUAUUAUCUCAGUGUUUUUUAUGAAAUAUAAUUUGAUGUCCUCUCUUAAGAGAGAAGAGGUGGUUGUUGUAUAGGUGGUUUCUUGAGAAAAACAGUUUGGCAGUAGGAAAUAUCCUAUAGAGCCAGAAAAGAGGAAAAAAAUUGCCAUCAAAUUUUGAGGAUGAGAUUAGAUAUCAAAUGUGUAGUGGAAUGAGUUGAGUGAUUUUCUUCAGUAAUAUUCAAUUGUGAGCAGGUACAAAAAAGGUAGUAGGAAAGAGGACGUAAAAGUCGGGGGUAAGGGUUAACAAAAUAGAGAAGGAAUAAGAUUUCAAAAGGUCCAAUUGUGGGAAAAAUAUGUUUCAGACAUGAGAGACAAAUAUGCAACUGAACACAAAUGGGAUGGAACAGGAUAGCUUACACUUAAAAGUAGGAAGACUGAAGCAUGAAGAUAUUGAAGAUUUGUAGUAUAAAAUAAAUGAUAAAUUGUAUAUGGAGUCCUGGUCCUAGAGACAGGAAAAUUUGAGUAAAAAUCCAGUUUUAGACACAUUCUAGCUCUGGGACCCUGAGCAAUUUAACCUUAUUUGCCUGAAAAGUUCCUCCUACAUCUCUGCUUUAUACAGGCAGGACUUAUAUAGCUCAAUGAUACUAUGAACUAUGCUAUUAUAGGUUACCCAGAUGGAAAGGUCAUAUGGAGAGCUCUGACAAAAAGGGGAAGGGGGAUCACUGGAAAAGGAAAUGACAAAUCAUUCUAAGUAUCUUUGCCAAGAAAAUCCCACGGAAAAAAUAAUAGUCCAUAGGGUCACAAAGAGUCAGACACAACUAAAUGACUGGAACAAGAACUAUAAAAUAUAAGUGAAACACUAAUUGGAGAAGUACCUUGGUGGCAAUGAAUAUGAUAUAAAAGAUGUUGAAUUUUAAUUUAUGGGAACCACUCAAGGCUCUUGAGGAGAAUGACAUGAUCAUAUUUAUAAAUUCAGACAGGAAAAAUUCACUGGACAGGGAAGAGAAGCAGACAGAAGGAUCAAUUAAGAUGCUCUUAUAAUAGAUUCUUAGAACAAUCUAAGUAAAAAGUAAUAAAAGUUUGAAUUAAGAUGAUGGUAGUCAAA